CUGCGGCUAGCGCUCUACUGGCUGAGCUGGGCAGCGACUCCCCUGCCAGGGGGCGCUAUCCUACCACACAGCUCCCAGUUUUCUGUUAUGCAGAGAGGUACUGGUGAGUGCUUGGACCACAAAUCUCUUGGAGAUUACAUCUGAAUGGCACCCUUCAAUUAAUCCGCUUUCACAAGGUACUGAACAUCUACUGAUCUCAUGUACUUCAGUGAAGUCAACAAGGAUCUACAAGAAUGCAAGUGUUCCCUCAUACAGUCACUCUGGAUUGAGUAAAUGGAUGAGACCUUGGAUGCUGUAGCAGGUUCAGUCUGGUUUUCCAUACUGGAUAUUAAAAGUGAUACUGGUGGUUGAAAGGAGAUCAGGCUGGGGAAAAAAAGCCUAUGUAGAUUUGGGUGGGAGUCAAAUCAUUUUGGAGUGGUGAUGUGAAAAAAUCUUUACAGAAAAGCAUUCAGUAAAUAUGUAAAUAGUCAGAAAAAGGGGAAACAAAGGGAAGCUGCAAGAGCGGUCAUGAGCCCCUCUUCAGCAGGGUGCGUCAUUUCCAGUGCCUGGAGCAGCCAGCAGAGAGAUUCUGAAAGAUUGAGGAUAUGGUGCUUUGCCUCCGCAUGAGAUAUAUCAAUCUAUCAAAAGGAGAGUUGAAGGGGAUGUGUCCUACUUGCCACUGCCAAAUGGGCCAGAGACUUUUUCAAUUACUUUGAAAACACAAUCAAUUUUUCAGGGACAUCACUGGAAGGCUUCAACACUAAACUCCUACCACUACGGCACAAAUCCUCACCCAAAUCAAACAGCGCUCAGGACAACAGACCAAAACAAUAGCAAAUCGAAACUAACAAGCUUGACUGCUAGAGCCACCACACUAGGAUCCAGACUUAACUUGUGAGGUGUU